GUGGGGAAUUUUGGACAAUGGGCGCAAGCCUGAUCCAGCAAUGUCGCGUGCAGGAAGAAGGCCUUCGGGUUGUAAACUGCUUUUGUACGGAACGAAACGGCUCUGGUUAAUACCCGGGGCUAAUGACGGUACCGUAAGAAUAAGCACCGGCUAACUACGUGCCAGCAGCCGCGGUAAUACGUAGGGUGCAAGCGUUAAUCGGAAUUACUGGGCGUAAAGCGUGCGCAGGCGGUUGUGUAAGACAGGCGUGAAAUCCCCGGGCUCGACCUGGGAAUUGCGCUUGUGACUGCACAGCUGGAGUGCGGCAGAGGGGGAUGGAAUUCCGCGUGUAGCAGUGAAAUGCGUAGAUAUGCGGAGGAACACCGAUGGCGAAGGCAGUCCCCUGGGCCUGUACUGACGCUCAUGCACGAAAGCGUGGGGAGCAAACAGGAUUAGAAACCCCAGUAGUCC
rnacentral:rRNA from 1 species